UACAGAGGGUGCAAGCGUUAAUCGGAAUUACUGGGCGUAAAGCGUGCGUAGACGGUUGCGUAAGUCAGAUGUGAAAGCCCCCGGGCUCAACCUGGGAAUUGCAUUUGAGACUGCGUAGCUAGGGUGCGGAAGAGGCGAGUGGAAUUCCUGGUGUAGCGGUGGAAUGCGCAGAUAUCAGGAGGAACACCAAUAGCGAAGGCAGCUCGCUGGGACGGUACUGACGCUGAGGCGCGAAAGCGUGGGGAGCGAACAGG
rnacentral:rRNA from 1 species